CCAUGCAGAUUAGCGAGUACGUUUCUGGUCCAAAUGAUAUCGUAGUGUUUUGUUACCAAUACCCUUUCCGGAUUUACCGUGUAGUGCAUCACACAAUGCUAUAAGCAAGAGUAGUACCAUCCUUAUGAAAGAGAAAUGUCAACGAUUGCGUGUCAUAAGUGGUUCACGAAGACUGAAGAGAGUUAGCUACCCCAAACAAACAAUGCCAGCACUCUCUGAUCUAGGUAGCUAGUACUACUUACUAGUUUUCGACCAUAUCCGACAGCGAACUGCCUCCUCCACACAAGAGCAGGUCUUUUCGUUCAAGCAUUUAUCCCACUGACUACGGCUCUGCCAACAGGAGAGAUGAAGGUGAUGGGAAUAAAUGGCACUGUGCAUGAAACGUCAGUCUAAAACACAGAUUUUCUUGGAAUCUAAAACCCGUCUUGACUCUGACUACGAUUGACAGGAAUAAAAAUAAAAACUGAAGAAAAAUUCAGAAGCCAGGUAACUUCGUCUCAAGCUGCGAAAAAUUACUUUCCUUUCGCAAGUUUGACUUCAUACAAACCAGGAUGGUUCAUGGAACGGUGGCUUUUGCCCCUCAGUAUUUUUUUGAACGAGGUGAGAAUGGAGCCUGGCGUUGCUGAUGUCUUCAACUUUAUUCCAAAUGAUGUCCUGUGUUGAUGGCUCAAAAUUAAUACUUCAAUAAUUAGUAUUAAAUGAGGCACACGAAUUAUGACCUUAAUUAUCUUUA